AGUGAACGCUGGCGGUAGGCCUAACACAUGCAAGUCGAACGGCAGCACAGUAAGAGCUUGCUCUUACGGGUGGCGAGUGGCGGACGGGUGAGGAGUACAUCGGAAUCUACUUUUUCGUGGGGGAUAACGUAGGGAAACUUACGCUAAUACCGCAUACGACCUACGGGUGAAAGCAGGGGAUCUUCGGACCUUGCGCGAUUGAAUGAGCCGAUGUCGGAUUAGCUAGUUGGCGGGGUAAAGGCCCACCAAGGCGACGAUCCGUAGCUGGUCUGAGAGGAUGAUCAGCCACACUGGAACUGAGACACGGUCCAGACACCUACGGGAGGCAGCAGUGGGGAAUAUUGGACAAUGGGCGCAAGCCUGAUCCAGCCAUACCGCGUGGGUGAAGAAGGCCUUCGGGUUGUAAAGCCCUUUUGUUGGGAAAGAAAAGCAGCAGGUUAAUACCCCGCUGUUCUGACGGUACCCAAAGAAUAAGCACCGGCUAACUUCGUG
rnacentral:rRNA from 1 species